UGCAAGUCGAGCGAACAGAGAAGGAGCUUGCUCCUUUGACGUUAGCGGCGGACGGGUGAGUAACACGUGGGCAACCUACCUUAUAGUUUGGGAUAACUCCGGGAAACCGGGGCUAAUACCGAAUAAUCUGUUUCACCUCAUGGUGAAAUAUUGAAAGACGGUUUCGGCUGUCGCUAUAGGAUGGGCCCGCGGCGCAUUAGCUAGUUGGUGAGGUAACGGCUCACCAAGGCGACGAUGCGUAGCCGACCUGAGAGGGUGAUCGGCCACACUGGGACUGAGACACGGCCCAGACUCCUACGGGAGGCAGCAGUAGGGAAUCUUCCACAAUGGGCGAAAGCCUGAUGGAGCAACGCCGCGUGAGUGAAGAAGGAUUUCGGUUCGUAAAACUCUGUUGUAAGGGAAGAACAAGUACAGUAGUAACUGGCUGUACCUUGACGGUACCUUAUUAGAAAGCCACGGCUAACUACGUGCCAGCAGCCGCGGUAAUACGUAGGUGGCAAGCGUUGUCCGGAAUUAUUGGGCGUAAAGCGCGCGCAGGUGGUUUCUUAAGUCUGAUGUGAAAGCCCACGGCUCAACCGUGGAGGGUCAUUGGAAACUGGGAGACUUGAGUGCAGAAGAGGAUAGUGGAAUUCCAAGUGUAGCGGUGAAAUGCGUAGAGAUUUGGAGGAACACCAGUGGCGAAGGCGACUAUCUGGUCUGUAACUGACACUGAGGCGCGAAAGCGU
rnacentral:rRNA from 1 species